GACGAACGCUGGCGGCGUGCCUAAUACAUGCAAGUAGAACGCACAGUUUAUACCGUAGCUUGCUACACCAUAGACUGUGAGUUGCGAACGGGUGAGUAACGCGUAGGUAACCUGCCUGGUAGCGGGGGAUAACUAUUGGAAACGAUAGCUAAUACCGCAUAAUAUUAAUUAUUGCAUGAUAAUUGAUUGAAAGAUGCAACUGCAUCACUACCAGAUGGACCUGCGCUGUAUUAGCUAGUAGGUGAGGUAACGGCUCACCUAGGCGACGAUACAUAGCCGACCUGAGAGGGUGAUCGGCCACACUGGGACUGAGACACGGCCCAGACUCCUACGGGAGGCAGCAGUAGGGAAUCUUCGGCAAUGGACGAAAGUCUGACCGAGCAACGCCGCGUGAGUGAAGAAGGUUUUCGGAUCGUAAAGCUCUGUUGUAAGAGAAGAACGGGUGUGAGAGUGGAAAGUUCACACUGUGACGGUAUCUUACCAGAAAGGGACGGCUAACUACGU
rnacentral:rRNA from 1 species